rnacentral:rRNA from 1 species
CGUGACAUCACCUAUGAAAUGGAGUCUGCUGAUGUAGCCCCUGCCAGCUAUGUCACUUUUGCUUCCUUCUUCCUGAAGGGACCCGCAGCUCAAUGGUGGGACAGCCAUAGGCGUACUCUGCCAGUUGGGACAAUCAUCUCCUGGCCAGACUUUCAGGCUGCCUUCCGUGCCCGCUUCAUUCCUCAGGGAGUCAUGGACCGGAAGAAGCGUGAGUUUCGCAACCUCACCCAAGGCAACAAGACUGUUGAAGCUUAUCAGCGGGAGUUUCUGGACUUGUCUCGCUAUGCUGAAGAGGACAUUGCAACUGAUGCACGUAGGCAGGAGAAGUUCCGUGACGGCCUUCAAGCUGACAUCAAGCUCGCACUUCUAGUGCACGACUUUGCUGAUUUCGCCACCUUGGUGAAUAAGGCCAUCAAUGUUGAGACUGGUCUUCAAGAACACCAUAGCUCUCAAAGGCGCAACCGUGACACGGGCUCAUCUUCGGGCCCGCCCUCGCAGAAGCGUAAGAUAUGGAUCCCGAACAGCAUGUACCGUCCAAAUGCACCAGCCCCAAGGCAGUCUUACGCUACACCUCGUCUGCCUAUUGCUCCAACUAGGCUGCCAAGGCUUCCAGCUCCGCCACCCCAAGCUCCUGUUCCCACUCCCAAUAAUGGCCUGUGCUACAAGUGUGGUCAACCAGGUCACCGUGCUAGGGAUUGCAUUCAGAAUCAGAAUCAACUGGCCCUUCCAGCCGCUGGCCGUGGAAACAACCAGGCCCGCAACAACAAUGCCAAGUCUUAUGGCCGUGUUCAUGCCAACCACAUUGAUCUGAAUGAAGCUCAAGACCAGCCUGCUACUGUGAUGGGUACACUCCUCGUAAAUUCAGUACCAGCAUCCGUUUUAUUUGAUACAGGUGCAUCGCAUUCAUUCAUGUCAGAAGAAUUUGCAUACAAGCACGAUGUUAAAUUUGAGCAGAUGAACACUUCGGUAGUGGUAAAAACCCCCGCGGGACAAUGUCAGACCUCCAUGGUUGGCAUUGACGUCCCUGUGGAAAUCGAAGGGUUGGAGUUUCGUGCCUCGCCCAUUAUACUGAAGUCGUCUAACAUUGACCUCAUUCUGGGAAUGGAUUGGUUAAAGGCGCAUACUGCUUCUAUCGUUUGCGCCACUAAGACCGUC